AGAAUCAACGCUGGCGGCGUGCCUAACACAUGCAAGUCGAACGAGAAAGUGGAGCAAUCCAUGAGUAAAGUGGCGCACGGGUGAGUAACACGUGACUAACCUACCCUUGAGUGGGGGAUAACUGAGGGAAACCUUAGCUAAUACCGCAUAAUACCCACGGGUCAAAGGAGCAAUUCGCUCGAGGAGGGGCCCGCGUCUGAUUAGCUAGUUGGUGGGGUAACGCCUACCAAGGCAACGAUCAGUA
rnacentral:rRNA from 1 species